CACGGGGGGAGCAAGCGUUGUUCGGAAUCACUGGGCGUAAAGGGCGUGUAGGCGGUCAAGUAAGUGGAAUGUGAAAGCCCCCGGCUUACCCGGGGAUCUGCAUCCCAAACUGCUUGGCUUGAGUACGGGAGAGGAUAGGGGAAUUCCUGGUGUAGCGGUGAAAUGCGUAGAUAUCAGGAGGAACACCGGUGGCGAAGGCGGCUCACUGGACUGGUAUUGACGCUGAGGUGCGAAAGCGUGGGGAGCAAACAGG
rnacentral:rRNA from 1 species